GGGAUCUGUCCAGUGUUCUUCAUCCAAUCAUGCUCUAAGGACCUCACCUGAAAAAUAACGAUUGUUAUGCAGGCACAAGGCAACCUUGCGACAACAGCACUAGCCACAGAACAUGGGGCACAAAGAAAUGAACUACCGCCACACAAGUUCAGUUCAACAAGACCCUGUUUUACCCUGAAGAGAUGAUAGUGCAACUCUUUGCAGCAGAGGCAAAAGGGUUUCCUCCUCCCUCCCUGGAAAAGGACACUGCUGCCUUGCAUCAAGUCCUGUUACUAUAGUAGAACCAGUGAAGAAGGGCGAAAGAGCCGGGUUCUUUUCUGCCUCAUGCAUCACUAUCCACCUACAAAAUCUAAUAGAGGAUAAAUCAUAUUCUCAGGUCAGGCAGAACUAGCAAGAAGACGAAGGCUGUGCUAAGAAGAGGAAGCCGCCACGGGACAGCUAAGCCUAAGCAACAGGCUGAAGGAUGUGGGGCAGGUAGGAAAGAGAGAGCGUCCAGCAAGUGGGAGGGUUUUAUUACAAGCAGAGACUGGAAGACUGCUGAGAAGCGAAGGAAGUGGAUGCACUGCCAGGCCUCACAGAUGAUGGAAGAAACUUCUGAGGGACACAGAGGAGACUGUGUACAGUUUGCUGUAAACCAGAAAGUCAUUAAUUU
rnacentral:lncRNA from 1 species